rnacentral:sRNA from 1 species
UUUAGUAUCUUACAACUAUUGUUAGUCAUAUUGACGUUCAGUAUGUUGUUUAACAAGUUCGUAAACUUUUAUGUUAUUUUGAAAGAGGAAUUCAAGCGCCUACGAGGGAAAACUGUGCUUUGCAUACAAAAACAAACAGCUUUGGACAAGCAUAUAGGCUUGGAUCCGGUUAACUGGUUAAGUAAGAUUUCCAGAUUCUUAAGCUGAAAAAUCUAGAUUCAAUGAAGCAAUUCAGUUGCCUCGAAAAAUGAAGGGUCAGAACGUUUGUGGUGUUUAUGAAUCUCUCCGUUUGGAUGAAAACCGAGUAAAAUACUAAAGAUUUUAGAGAUAAGAUGUUAGCUGUUAGAGAAGCUUUUUGGACACGAGACGACCACUUGAUAUUCCCUCGGCACUUCCUUUUAAGGUAAUUUAAUCUCUUACAACACUUGGCAUUAUUCUGCAGUUGUUGGUUCAUAAUACUGCA